AUGAGGCCCUUGGCUUUCCUGCUGGUCUUCUUUCUUUGUCUUUCAGUGUCAGGAGGGCAGGAGUCAGUGACCCAGGUCCGCUUGGAGGUGACCGUGUCUGAAGGAGAGAAUGCCAGCUUGGCCUGCAACUACACAACCACAUAUGCCCCCUCCCUCCUCUGGGACCGGCGGGGCCCCAGCCACCAGCUGGACUACCUGCUGCAGGUUGAUUCUUGGGGGGUGCGUUACGGGCAGGAUGGGAGCCUGAGCCAUCUGGGGGCCCAGCUGGACACGGAGCAGCGGACGGCCCUUCUGCAGGUCCAUGCCGCCCAGCUCUCAGACUCUGCUGUUUAUUUCUGCGCCCUGAGCCACACAGGGCAGCAGCACCAUCCACCCCUAGUGCAAGAACCUCCCACAGCCCAGCCCUUCUCCAGGCUUGCCUCCUCCUCCUCCUAG